rnacentral:rRNA from 1 species
UACGUAGGGGGCAAGCGUUGUCCGGAUUUAUUGGGCGUAAAGAGCUCGUAGGCGGUUUGGUAAGUCAGGUGUGAAAUCUCCACGCUCAACGUGGAGGGGCCACCUGAUACUGCCAUGACUGGAGUCCGGUAGAGGAGUGUGGAAUUCCCGGUGUAGCGGUGAAAUGCGCAGAUAUCAGGAGGAACACCGGUGGCGAAGGCGGGUCUCUGGGCCGAUACUGACGCUGAGGAGCGAAGGCGUGGGGAGCGAACAGG